UUAUAAUUGCAGAUAUACAUCUCUGUGGUAAUUCUCCCGAGAUUAGAAAUAAAGGAUAUCAAAUUUUGUUUUAGCCAGCAAGAUGCAGUUUUUGGUCUGCUCUUCUUUAUUCAGUUCCCCUAUUUCUACGUGAAGCUUAUCAUCAAGUUCCAAGCUUAUAUGAUUUUUUGGUAGCUGUAUUCCAUUUUCAAAGCAGCCCAAUAGAUUUAAGAGCAUCUGUUUAAAAUAGUUUUGUGCGCUGUCCUAAAAAGGCAGAUAUAAUGCUUGUGUCCCUGUACAUUAUCACAACCAUGAUGCUGUUAUCUGUGCCUUUGGAGUGUCUUGUCACCUCCCAGUACCAAAUGGCAUUACUUCCUGCAUGUAUUAGCUUCAUAAUUGUUUCUGAAGUCUAUUUUGAUCCUUUUCCCGUACCUAUUUCAUGAAGAUUGAAGAUGUUCCAUGCAAAAAUUAGGGAAGAAGUUUGAACUGAUUAAAGGUGAAGCCUAAUGGUUUAUGAACAUUCUAACUCCUUUGAGGCGCAGGGAAUGUGUGUGCUACUAAUCUGACAGACUUCUUGAAAUUGUUCUGUGUUGUCUCACUCUUGAUGAUAAUUUUGGGGUGGUGGCACAGCAGACAGCACUGAUGUUGGAAAUCAAAUGCUAAUAUAUUUUUUAGCGCAACCAACAUUUGGUAUAGUGUCUUUUCGCAGGGAGAGGUUAAAAACCCAGGAACGGUUUAGCUUGUAUGCAAAAGGUUAACUAUUGGAGCAAACUGAAAGAUACAAAGUCAAUGAUGAAAUGAAUUGAUUUCCACUACAAAUCAGUUCAUGGGAGCUGGAUUAAAUUAGUCAUUUAGCCUCAUCUCUGCCUUCUUUUUUUCCAUUUGACUCUGACUCAAGCUCAAACUCGAGCUUCACAGCGCCGCCAAAGUUAAUGGGUUCCUUGCUUUCAUUUUGGAUGGUGAAAAACGUUAACUAUAGGAUCAAUUUCAAACUUGUUUCUAUUACUGCAAUAUAUCUGAAUCUAUUUGGCUUCUUGAGUCCAUGUGCUUGUAUGUUUUUUAAUUCUAAGAACAUCUAGCUACUAGCAAUAACAUACCAAUUUCCAUUUUUCCCUCGAGUUUCAAAACCAAAUCACCUGCAUACCUGGAACCAGAUAUAAAU
rnacentral:misc_RNA from 1 species